rnacentral:rRNA from 1 species
CAGCAGCCGCGGUAAUACAGAGGAUGCAAGCGUUAUCCGGAAUGAUUGGGCAUAAAGUGUCUGUAGGUGGCUUUUCAAGUCCGCCGUCAAAUCCCGGGGCUCAACCGUGGACAGGCGGUGGAAACUACCAAGCCGGAGUAUGGUAGGGGCAGAGGGAAUUUCCGGUGGAGCGGUGAAAUGCGUUGAGAUCGGAAAGAACACCAACAGCGAAAUCACUCUGCUGGGCCGACACUGACACUGAGAGACGAAAGCUAGGGGAGCAAAUGGGAUUAGAUACCCCCGUAGUCCCUGUCUCUUAUAC